rnacentral:ncRNA from 1 species
CUAAUUAGACGAUAAGACCCUAUAGAGCUUUAUAUAUGUAUGCUGUUAAGUAUUAAAAUUUUUAUUAGUUAAUAACCAGGUUGUAUAUUUUAUUGGGGCAAUAAAAGAAUAAAAUUAACUUCUUAUUAAUAAAUUUUAUUUAAUUAAUUAACUUUUAGUAUAAAAUUUAAUAGAAGUUACCUUAGGGAUAACAGCGUUAUUAAAGUUGAGAGUUCUUAUCGACACUUUAGAUUGCGACCUCGAUGUUGAAUUAAAAAUUCUUUGAGGGGCAGCAUUUUUAUUAGAUGGUCUGUUCGACCAUUAAAUUUUUACAUGAUUUGAGUUCAAACCGGUGUGAGCCAGGUUGGUUUCUAUCUUUUAG